AGAGUUUGAUCAUGGCUCAGAUUGAACGCUGGCGGCAGGCCUAACACAUGCAAGUCGAACGGUAACAGGAAUCAGCUUGCUGCUUUGCUGACGAGUGGCGGACGGGUGAGUAAUGUCUGGGAAACUGCCUGAUGGAGGGGGAUAACUACUGGAAACGGUAGCUAAUACCGCAUAACGUCGCAAGACCAAAGAGGGGGACCUUCGGGCCUCUUGCCAUCGGAUGUGCCCAGAUGGGAUUAGCUAGUAGGUGGGGUAAAGGCUCACCUAGGCGACGAUCCCUAGCUGGUCUGAGAGGAUGACCAGCCACACUGGAACUGAGACACGGUCCAGACUCCUACGGGAGGCAGCAGUGGGGAAUAUUGCACAAUGGGCGCAAGCCUGAUGCAGCCAUGCCGCGUGUAUGAAGAAGGCCUUCGGGUUGUAAAGUACUUUCAGCGGGGAGGAAGGGAGUAAAGUUAAUACCUUUGCUCAUUGACGUUACCCGCAGAAGAAGCACCGGCUAACUCCGUGCCAGCAGCCGCGGUAAUACGGAGGGUGCAAGCGUUAAUCGGAAUUACUGGGCGUAAAGCGCACGCAGGCGGUUUGUUAAGUCAGAUGUGAAAUCCCCGGGCUCAACCUGGGAACUGCAUCUGAUACUGGCAAGCUUGAGUCUCGUAGAGGGGGGUAGAAUUCCAGGUGUAGCGGUGAAAUGCGUAGAGAUCUGGAGGAAUACCGGUGGCGAAGGCGGCCCCCUGGACGAAGACUGACGCUCAGGUGCGAAAGCGUGGGGAGCAAACAGGAUUAGAUACCCUGGUAGUCCACGCCGUAAACGAUGUCGACUUGGAGGUUGUGCCCUUGAGGCGUGGCUUCCGGAGCUAACGCGUUAAGUCGACCGCCUGGGGAGUACGGCCGCAAGGUUAAAACUCAAAUGAAUUGACGGGGGCCCGCACAAGCGGUGGAGCAUGUGGUUUAAUUCGAUGCAACGCGAAGAACCUUACCUGGUCUUGACAUCCACGGAACUUUCCAGAGAUGGAUUGGUGCCUUCGGGAACCGUGAGACAGGUGCUGCAUGGCUGUCGUCAGCUCGUGUUGUGAAAUGUUGGGUUAAGUCCCGCAACGAGCGCAACCCUUAUCCUUUGUUGCCAGCGGUCCGGCCGGGAACUCAAAGGAGACUGCCAGUGAUAAACUGGAGGAAGGUGGGGAUGACGUCAAGUCAUCAUGGCCCUUACGACCAGGGCUACACACGUGCUACAAUGGCGCAUACAAAGAGAAGCGACCUCGCGAGAGCAAGCGGACCUCAUAAAGUGCGUCGUAGUCCGGAUUGGAGUCUGCAACUCGACUCCAUGAAGUCGGAAUCGCUAGUAAUCGUGGAUCAGAAUGCCACGGUGAAUACGUUCCCGGGCCUUGUACACACCGCCCGUCACACCAUGGGAGUGGGUUGCAAAAGAAGUAGGUAGCUUAACCUUCGGGAGGGCGCUUACCACUUUGUGAUUCAUGACUGGGGUGAAGUCGUAACAAGGUAACCGUAGGGGAACCUGCGGUUGGAUCACCU
rnacentral:rRNA from 2 species